CGGAGGAAAAGAAACCAACUGGGAUUGCCUCAGUAACGGCGAGUGAAGCGGCAAAAGCUCAAAUUUGGAAUCCUUCGGGAGUUGUAAUUUGAAGAAUGCACUUUUGGUGGCAGCGCAAGUCCAUUGGAACAUGGCGCCAGAGAGGGUGACAGCCCCGUCGCAGCCUAGCCAAAUACAAGUGUAUUUCGACGAGUCGAGUUGUUUGGGAAUGCAGCUCAAAGUGGGUGGUAAACUCCAUCUAAAGCUAAAUAUUGGCGAGAGACCGAUAGCGAACAAGUACAGUGAUGGAAAGAUGAAAAGCACUUUGAAAAGAGAGUGAAAAAGUACGUGAAAUUGUUGGAAGGGAAGGGCUUGGAAGGAGUGUCAGCAUCGGUUGCGCGGGGCAGAAAAAGAAGAGAAGAAUGUAGCGCUUGCGUAUUAUAGCUUCUCUUUAGUUGUGCCCACGGCUGCGACCGAGGACCGCUUAAUAGAGGAUGUUGACUUAAUCCUUUCAAGCCGCCCGUCUUGA
rnacentral:rRNA from 1 species